rnacentral:rRNA from 1 species
UGCAAGUCGAGCGGAUGAAGAGAGCUUGCUCUCUGAUUUAGCGGCGGACGGGUGAGUAAUGCCUAGGAAUCUGCCUGGUAGUGGGGGAUAACGUUCCGAAAGGAACGCUAAUACCGCAUGCGUCCUACGGGAGAAAGCAGGGGACCUUCGGGCCUUGCGCUAUCAGAUGAGCCUAGGUCGGAUUAGCUAGUUGGUGAGGUAAUGGCUCACCAAGGCGACGAUCCGUAACUGGUCUGAGAGGAUGAUCAGUCACACUGGAACUGAGACACGGUCCAGACUCCUACGGGAGGCAGCAGUGGGGAAUAUUGGACAAUGGGCGAAAGCCUGAUCCAGCCAUGCCGCGUGUGUGAAGAAGGUCUUCGGAUUGUAAAGCACUUUAAGUUGGGAGGAAGGGUUGUAGAUUAAUACUCUGCAAUUUUGACGUUACCAACAGAAUAAGCACCGGCUAACUUCGUGCCAGCAGCCGCGGUAAUACGAAGGGUGCAAGCGUUAAUCGGAAUUACUGGGCGUAAAGCGCGCGUAGGUGGUUCGUUAAGUUGGAUGUGAAAGCCCCGGGCUCAACCUGGGAACUGCAUCCAAAACUGGCGAGCUAGAGUACGGUAGAGGGUAGUGGAAUUUCCUGUGUAGCGGUGAAAUGCGUAGAUAUAGGAAGGAACACCAGUGGCGAAGGCGACUACCUGGACUGAUACUGACACUGAGGUGCGAAAGCGUGGGGAGCAAACAGGAUUAGAUACCCUGGUAGUCCACGCCGUAAACGAUGUCAACUAG